rnacentral:tRNA from 1 species
UAUUCAUUAAAAAUAAAGGUUUUGUAAGCUUAAGAUGUAAAAUUUUACAAGAAUUU